UACGGAAGGUCCGGGCGUUAUCCGGAAUCACUGGGUGUAAAGGGAGCGUAGACGGCUGUGCAAGCCUGAAGUGAAAGGCGGGGGCCCAACCCCCGGACUGCUUUGGGAACUGUACGGCUGGAGUGCAGGAGAGGUAAGUGGAAUUCCUAGUGUAGCGGUGAAAUGCGUAGAUAUUAGGAGGAACACCAGUGGCGAAGGCGGCUUACUGGACUGUAACUGGCGUUGAGGCUCGAAAGCGUGGGGAGCAAACAGG
rnacentral:rRNA from 1 species